rnacentral:rRNA from 1 species
UACGGAGGGGACUAGCGUUGUUCGGAAUUACUGGGCGUAAAGCGCACGUAGGCGGAUUUGUAAGUCAGGGGUGAAAUCCCGAGGCUCAACCUCGGAACUGCCUUUGAUACUGCAAAUCUCGAGUCCGGAAGAGGUGAGUGGAAUUCCUAGUGUAGAGGUGAAAUUCGUAGAUAUUAGGAAGAACACCAGUGGCGAAGGCGGCUCACUGGCCCGAUACUGACGCUGAGGUGCGAAAGCGUGGGGAGCAAACAGG